CCAGCAAGUGUACCAGCCCAGGUGCACAGCCAGACGGCCUGCAAAGAGGGACCAACUUCUUGUUCAGCUCAAGGAAUGGACAACUGCUAACAUCAAUCACUCAUCCAUGUCCCAUGUUCUUCUUUAAUUCCCCUUUGGCUAAGUACAUGAGCAACCUCAUAAUUACAUGCCCAGAGAUUGUUCAAAUAAAAAAGGAACAAAGCUCCUGACAAAGUUCAAUGCCGAAAUCAAGACUGCCUGGAGUACCCCUUGCCCAGCCUGCAGUGCAGUCUCAAAUCUGGAAAUGGGACCAAGGGCCCUACAAGGAAAGCUCUCAAGUUCUCCAGUCUCCUUAGAACCGGGUGGAAAGUCCUGAUUGAUGUUCAGAGAAAGUGCCGGCGUCCUCCCUGGACUUCUCCCUCUUUCUACCUCUCGUGCUCCAGCUUCCAAAGGAUCCUGUGGUCAUGGUGACAUAGAGGCAACCCCAGGAGCCUAAGGGGAGGCAACACCGAGAGGGGCAACUUUCUGAAUGCCACCAAUGGUACCAAGAGGGGGCAACUUUCUCACUCCCUCUUUCCAUCUCUAUCACGUACUGAGACAAAUCACCCAACCAAAAGCAACUUAGGGAAGGAAAGAGU